AGUGAACGCUGGCGGUAGGCCUAACACAUGCAAGUCGAACGGCAGCACAGUAAGAGCUUGCUCUUACGGGUGGCGAGUGGCGGACGGGUGAGGAAUACAUCGGAAUCUACUUUUUCGUGGGGAUAACGUAGGGAAACUUACGCUAAUACCGCAUACGACCUACGGGUGAAAGCAGGGGAUCUUCGGACCUUGCGCGAUUGAAUGAGCCGAUGUCGGAUUAGCUAGUUGGCGGGGUAAAGGCCCACCAAGGCGACGAUCCGUAGCCGGUCUGAGAGGAUGAUCAGCCACACUGGAACUGAGACACGGUCCAGACUCCUACGGGAGGCAGCAGUGGGGAAUAUUGGACAAUGGGCGCAAGCCUGAUCCAGCCAUACCGCGUGGGUGAAGAAGGCCUUCGGGUUGUAAAGCCCUUUUGUUGGGAAAGAAAAGCAGCAGGUUAAUACCCCGCUGUUCUGACGGUACCCAAAGAAUAAGCACCGGCUAACUUCGUG
rnacentral:rRNA from 1 species